UACGAACUGUGCAAACGUUAUUCGGAUUCACUGGGCUUAAAGGGUGCGUAGGCGGCCAUGUAAGUCGGGUGUGAAAUCCCCCGGCUUAACCGGGGAACUGCGCCCUAAACUGUAUGGCUGGAGUGAGAUAGGGGUGUGUGGAACUUCCGGUGGAGCGGUGAAAUGUGUUGAUAUCGGAAGGAACGCCGGUGGCGAAAGCGACACACUGGGUCUCAACUGACGCUGAGGCACGAAAGCCAGGGGAGCGAACGGG
rnacentral:rRNA from 1 species